GUUCCUUAUUUUGUAUGCAACUCAAAAGUUUUUCCCAUAAAACUUUCAAGUGAGUACUUUUGAAGUUGCCAUUUUGUUUGUGGUUUGCACGCGUUGUUGAUGUCGCGAUGAUUUGUAACAAUUUGCGCAUCAUUUAAUCCGGAAGCGCGUUCUUGUGGUCAAAUCAGUACGAUAGUGUGGACUUUUCCCUUGAGCGAGAUCCAGCAAUUGCUGACAUAAGUCAGUUCGGCUGGCCAGGACGUCGACUUUGAUAACUCCCGGCAUCCACCAGCUCCCCCGGCAGAGGAUUUUUUCAGCAUGUAUAUCGAUUCCGGUGCUCCUUUUUGUCCGGAGGAAACCGUAUCAAGAUAACCGGAAUUGUGCCAGUUGUGCUGAAUGUGUUUACGAUCCAUGUUUAAUCUCUCAACGAUGGAUUGGUGCCGGAAAAGCUGUUCACCACCUGAAGGUGGUUUUCCAAAGAAAAUGACCAGCUACCAGAUCAUGUACUGCUGAUUUUCGUCCAGUAAGGUCCACAGGAACUAUGUUUUGAAGUACUUAUUGACUUCAGCGGGAUCUGUGCCAGACAGCCCCCCCAUGGAUUAGUGCUCUGCGGCCCUCGCAACGUCCAGCUGAAGCCAACUGUCGCUAAGAAAAUUAGAGCUGCUGCUGCCACCAGUGCCACAGUUGCUGCAGUAAAUGUUUGGUCAGGACGUCGACUUGGGUUACUUCCGGCAUUCAUCGGCUCCUCCGGAAAGUAUUUAUUUUUGUCAGCGGCCCAAUUUUGGAGAACAAUGUAUCGAGAUACUCUGAAGGCAAUCGAAUCAGAUGCUUCCGGAACCGUGCCAGUAUGGUCGAUCGUAUGGAGGAGAAAAUGGACAAAGGUGUUUAAUGCGUUAAACUUAACGUUGAGUCCAUGCACUUUUUGUCCGAGAUGCGUACAAAAAAGUGGCGGUUGAGUUUAUUACUUUUGCCGUGUAAGUGGUUCAGCUUCGUAUGUAUUGGUAAACGCAACAAGCCAAGUCAGCUGCCGUCGCUGUCGCUCUCCGUGGUGAAAACAUUUUUUCACUGUAGUGUGUGUUUGCUCUGUCGUGUUGUUUUUCAGAUUCUCUACAGAUGUUCGGUUAAAAAUCUCUGCGGUGCGUUUCAGAGAAUCUCUACCGAGAAUCGAAAACCGAGCACUUCGGUCAUUCUCUGUAGAGAAAUUGCAAGCCUGAUUGAAGUAUAAUAUCCUAAUCAGAAACUGAUAGAUUCAAAAGUUUGUCGGGGUUCUGAAUUGAAUCAAAUUUGUGUCACACUAAAUUCCAACGUCUACAAGUCUACAACGUUAACGUCUACAAAUGUUGGCGUACAUUAUCAGAAACUGUCCUAACCAAUCGUUUCUGAUCCACAGGAAAAAGUUUCCUGCAAUUAGAAUGUGCAUAAAAAAAUUCUGGUUUCGGAAGAUUUUUUUUUUGAACUUGUAUUUUCGUGACACAAAAAAAUUUGUGCCCGCAGAUUGUCACAUGAAAAAUGAAAUGCGACAAAAGAAAAUUGUUUUUUUUCCUCCAGCAGUAAUCGCCUUACCCGUAUGGUAAAAUUAUAGCCAAUUUUGCUAUCACGCCCUGAGAGCCCAACUUGCUCUCAUUUUGCUUGACAUAAGGUGGUACACAGCAAAAAUGAGAGCACAAAUUUUCAUACUUGGUUAGCAAAGUGAUGCCAAAUUUUGCUAAAACUGAGACCCUAACUACACCUCGAUAUCCGAUAGCUUGGAGAGCACAAUGAUGCUAAUAUAAGGCAUCAUAAAAUUCUCCGUUAUAGCAAAAUUUGGCAUCGAUAUGCUCUCAAAACUAUAAGAAAACGAGAGCAAAUCGAGGUAUAAUUGU